rnacentral:rRNA from 1 species
AGAGUUGAUCAUGGCUCAGGACGAACGCUGGCGGCGUGCCUAACACAUGCAAGUCGAGCGGAGUCGGUAAGAGGAAGUUUCGGAUGGAAUCUAUUGAUUAGCGGCGGACGGGCGAGUAACGCGUGAGCGACCAACCUUGCACAGGGGGAUAACGGACCGAAAGGUUCACUAAUACCGCAUGAGACCACGGUGUUGCAUGACACAGAGGUCAAAGGAGCAAUCCGGUGCAAGACGGGCUCGCGUCCGAUUAGGUAGUUGGAGGGGUAACGGCCCACCAAGCCUAUGAUCGGUAGCCGACCUGAGAGGGUGAUCGGCCACAUUGGAACUGAGAUACGGUCCAAACUCCUACGGGAGGCAGCAGUGGGGAAUAUUGGGGCAAUGGGGGAAACCCUGACCCAGCAACGCCGCGUGAAGGAAGAAGGUUUUCGGAUUGUAAACUUCUGUCCUUGGUGAAGAGAAGAAGACGGUAGCCAAGGAGGAAGCCCCGGCUAACUACGUGCCAGCCGCCGC